UACGAGGGGUGCAAGCGUUGCUCGGAAUUAUUGGGCGUAAAGGGUAGGUAGGUGGUCUUAUUUGUCAGGGGUGAAAUCCUUGGGCUUAACUCAAGAAGUGCCCCUGAAACGGUAAGACUAGAAUCUUGGAGAGGUGAGCGGAAUUCCCGGUGUAGCGGUGAAAUGCGUAGAUAUCUGGAGGAACACCGGUGGCGAAGGCGGCAUCCUGGACCGGUAUUGACGCUGAGGCGCGAAAGCUAGGGGAGCAAACGGG
rnacentral:rRNA from 1 species